GGGUCGAUGGCGUAGCUGGUUAUCGCAUCUGUCUAACAUCGAGAGAGUUACUUCUACACAGCUACACAGAAGGUCCUCAGUUCGAACCUGGGUCGACUCA